ensembl:lncRNA
AUUAUGUAUUAUAAAAAUAUAUCAAAGUUUUAAACUUCAGUAGAAGGUGAUCAAUCUUAUAUGAAAACAAGGUUUAAUAAAGUUAAAAUGAGUUCAUUAGCAUAUGGCUCAUGUAAUACAACUGGGGUUGUUAUGAGAAUGAAAAAUUUGGCCUCUGAGACAAGCACAGAGGGUCAGUGAUGGAGACACACAGAAGAAUAUCACGUGAAGGGACAGAGACUGGACUUGUGCUGCCACUGACCAAGGAACAUCUAAGCAACUGGAAGCCACAGAACCUAAGGAAGGAGCCCUUCUGUACAGAUUUCAGAGGGAGACAUUCAUGUUGACAUCUUGACUUCCAGCUUUGAGCCUCCUGAACUUUUCAGUUGUGUAAUUCAGCAUUGUCAUGUACAGUCGUAUUUGGGAUUCCCCCAAAUUUAACAAUGACACUCAAAGAGACCUAGUUUUUGGUCAGACACAUAAAGACCUUGGAAAUUCAAAUCCAUCCUAAAAAGAUUAAAAAUGCUGCACUCCAACGAGGCCCAACAACAGGGAAGACUGUCAAAUGUUUGAGUUUUACCUUCAGGAUCCCUACCAGGUUCACAAGCUGAAUUGACCUGGACAAGAAAAUCACUUAAACUGCAAUGAGAUAUCACUACCCAUCUACAAAAAUGAGCAAAAUCUGGAACAUUGAAAGGAACAAAUGCCAGCAAAAUGCUACUGUGGCAUAAAGAAGCAUAAAUUUGAGUCAUUUUUUUAAAAAAUAGAUUCACUUUGAGAUCUUAAUGUUAAGUGAAAUAAAUCAGACAUGCAAUCUUCAAUAGCACAUGAUUUAUCUUAUAUGAGAAACCCAAAGUAUGAUUAAAGAGCAAAAUGAAAGAUCAAUAAUGGGAAAUGGAGAUAGAACUUUUACAAAAGAGAAGGGGACCAAGACAUGGGAAGAAGGAAAGGGGACAUGAAAAGAAUUAAGAUUGUGUUAAGUACAUGUACCAACUCCCCACAAUGAAGAUAAUCAUUAUGUACCAGAAGUUAUUAUAAAAGAGAAUAAGGAGGAACAGAAAGUAUUAUUUAUUACUGAGAUAAUGUAAAAUGAUGAAGUUUGGUAAUUUCUUACAAAUUUAAAAAUGAUUGUACCAUAUAAUCUAACAAAUUGCCUCCUUAUUUUCUGAAAUUAAUUAAAAACAUGUCUACACAAACCCUGUACACAAACCUUUGUAACAGCUUUUAUCAUAAAUUACUCAAAUAUAAAAUCAACAAAGGUGUGUUUCACCUUGGGCAAAUGGGCAAAAAGGACAAAUGGAUAAACUACAUUAUAUCCAGACAAUGGGAAAGAAAUGAGCUAUUAGAGUAAGAAAAAACACAAAGAAGCCUUAAAAGUACAUUAUUAAAUAAUGAAGAUAACCUGAAAAGGCUACAUAAUAUAUGAUCCAACCUAUGUACCAUUUUGUAAAAGGCAAAUCUAUAGUGACAGUAGUUUCCAGAGAUCAGAAAGAAAGGAUGGCCAAGCAGAUCACAGGAGAACUUUUAGGGCAGUGAAACAAUGCUGUAUGAAACUAUAGUGAUGAAUACUCUAUAUGCUGUUAUAUAUUUGUCUAAUUUCAUAGAACAUAUACCACCAAAAGUGAACCCUAAUGUAAACUAUGGACUUUAAGGUUGCAGCUGUGUUAAUUAAUUUUCAUUAAUUAUGACAAAUAUAGCAAUCUGAUGUGGAUGUAGGGCCAGGUACAGAAGAUAUAUGGACACUAUACUUUCUUCUCAAUUUUUCUAUGACAUUAAAAUAUUGUUAAAAAAUAAUGUCUAUUUUUACAUGGCACUUAUAAACAUAUUAUCAUUAUUCACAUUCUCUGAAUAUGAGUUUGGGUAUCUAAUAUAUUUAAAUGUUCAGUAAGCGAGAAAUAAAAAGUGGCAAUCUAAAUAUAGGAAAUGAUAAUCUGAUUAAUGGAAAGCAACAUAUUAUUCUAUGAAGAGUGAAGAAAGAGCUAUGAUGAAGAUUUGUUUUUCAUUUAAAUCCAUUGGUAAGAAAACAAUAAAAAUCAUCCUUUCCUUUUCUUUUUUUAUUUUUAAAUAAAUGGAAUAUAUUGUGAUUAGAUUAUCUUUCAAAGUUAAAAUAUAUCUGCAUUGAUG